ensembl:lncRNA
AUUUGAUCUCUGUUGGUCGGCUAUUAUUAGAGGCAGGCAAGCCGUUCACAGUUGAACUAGACACAACUUAUUUAAAAAAUGUAGUCUAAUUUCUGUUUGCAGAUUACCCCCAAUGAAGUCAUGUUUUUAUGGGGUUAUUUAUGUUCUGUGUUCCAUGAGCUGUGCGUGCAAACAAACGUAACCAGUAACGGCCUCUUAAGAAAGUCACCCAGAGGGGUCACGUGCAGAGGGAUGGCCCGUCAGAGGGAGCUGCAGUCAUGUUCUAGCCUGGCUCACCGAACUGGCUCUGUGGGGGGUCAUAGGAGCUCACUGGCUGCUACAGGAGAGGAAAAAGAGGAAGAGAUGAGAACCAGAAGAAGAUCAAUGUCAGCUCCAGAUGGUGGUUUUCUGAAUGCAGCUAUUCAAGUAGUCCAAGCCACGCAUCGGUGCCAAAGGAAAUCACCAUUACCACAGAAUUGCCAAGUCAAUCAACCCCAAGUGAAGGAGCUUGACAAAUGUGACGUGAGAAAGAGGGAGAACGAGGGAAAGUGUGCUUGUCUUGAAGCAUGUGUUAAAGUAUUUCUUAUACUGGCAGCCGCUGUGUAAAUCAGCUGGGGGUGGCCUAUGCUCUCACUGACCACCCCCCAUGAGCUAAAGGUUGUCAGCCACUGCCCACUCUACAUCCUGGUUAAUUUGUUCUUGAGGCAGAAAUGCGGGGGAGACACAAAGAUGGUUUGAAACAGCCUGAGAAAUGCCAGAAAUUGGUAUGUGCCAGGCCCUCAAGAUACAGGAUCAGUGGGGUGGGUCUUGUUAGCAGAGGGGGCUCCCAUCAGCUCCCUGCCAGCAGUGAAGGCACCUGUAGCAAAUCAGCCUCCAGAAAGGAUCCAGGGAAAAGCCUUUGUUCUCCAUUGUGCAUGCCUGUGUGUAUGUGAGUGUGUGCUUGUGCAUGUGCCCAUGCAUGAAGUGACUUACCGUGGAAAGAGCCAAACCGAAGUCCCAGCCCAGGCAGGCCCACGGCUCAGCCCAAGAAACGCUGAAAGGUGCUGGCAGUGGGGCUUGCGUGGCCAUCUUUGGCACCCCAACCAGCCUAGCCCCAGUGAGAAGUGAGAGGACCUCGCACCCUUGCUCUGGCCCGCUCAGUCCCUGAGCUCCCUGCUGAAAAGACGAUGAGUGAGGGGACGCUAGCAGACACAUGAGCAUUUAUGAUACUGGCUGAUCCCCUGCCACAAUUGUACAGAGGCAUUAUGCCAAAAAGUUUUGAAUUAACUGAGGCUUUGUCAUAAAAUAUGAGUUACGACUUCUGGUUAAUUUGUUUUAACUUCUACCCUGCUCCCAGUGACCAUCCCAGUGGUCAUGGGCUAAGACAAGGGGCCAGGUAGCUGGGUAUCUGUCCCUCUUGCUUAUAAGCACCCUGUUCAUCCCAAAUUGCCUCAAGCCAUUGCAAGAUCAAAAUUAUUCAUUGGAAGACUUUGCCUUGAGGGAACUGCAAGCUCUAUUUCUUUAAUGAUUUUAAUGAUCAGAAUUGUGCCAGGUCAAGCUAUUUAACUGUGUAUUUAAUUAGUCAUCUGUAUGCAUGUAACUUAAAGGCGUUCAGCUGUGCUAUUUUAUAGGGAUUAACUAAGCGGGCAGUAAAUCACCUAUGCCAGCAAUAAAAGUAUUUAUAGCAGAACUUUUUUUUUUUUU